AGUCGAACGCCGUAGCAAUACGGAGUGGCAGACGGGUGAGUAACACGUGGGAACCUUCCCAACGGUACGGAAUAGCUCAGGGAAACUUGAGGUAAUACCGUAUACGCCCUGACGGGGAAAGAUUUAUCGCCGUUGGAUGGGCCCGCGUCGGAUUAGCUAGUUGGUGAGGUAAUGGCUCACCAAGGCGACGAUCCGUAGCUGGUCUGAGAGGACGACCAGCCACACUGGGACUGAGACACGGCCCAGACUCCUACGGGAGGCAGCAGUGGGGAAUAUUGGACAAUGGGCGAAAGCCUGAUCCAGCCAUGCCGCGUGAGCGAUGAAGGCCUUAGGGUUGUAAUGCUCUUUUGGCGGGGAAGAUAAUGACGGUACCCGCAGAAUAAGCCCCGGCUAACUUCGUGCCAGCAGCCGCGGUAAUACGAAGGGGGCUAGCGUUGUUCGGAAUUACUGGGCGUAAAGCGCACGUAGGCGGACUGACAAGUCAGGGGUGAAAUCCCGGGGCUCAACCUCGGAACUGCCUUUGAUACUGCCAGUCUCGAGUCCGGAAGAGGUGGGUGGAAUUCCUAGUGUAGAGGUGAAAUUCGCA
rnacentral:rRNA from 1 species